ACCCAGAGUUCUUCAGACAAUGCCCAUGAAACUCCUUCUAGCAAGAUGUACAAUCUUCAAGGAGACAAUUGGGGAUUCUUCAUUUGUCUGCAUAAACUAUCCUCAAUCAAGAUAAUAUAUGAAGAAAAGAGUCUUCUUGCCUGAAGAGAGUAGGGAAAUAACAAUUGAGGAUCAAACAUAUAGAUGUCAGAUGCAAAACUGAGAAAGGUUUCCCAUGAAAGUCAUCAGCGAGAAGCAGACAAAGCAGGCUUGCAGAAAAAGCAACUGAAGGACCACAAGAAAGUGAAAUCUAUAAGGACUCCAAAAGAUAUUAAUGUCAAUCAGGUUAAUAACCCAAAUCACUGAGGAAACUAAUGCAACAGAUGGCAAUAUUCUGCAUUUAAAAGGCGCAAAGCUUCAAGGAUCUAUUGCUUCCCCCAAAAGCUUCAGGGAUGUCAGGAGGAGAGUCAGUUCAGCGUGGUCAGCACGUGGACACAUCUGUGAGGAAACCCAAGGAAAUAGGCAGCGUUGGUGGAACAGAGGAUCGCUCCCUGUCCAUGUGGCAACUGGAGAUUUCAUUCACUUGCUACUCACUACCCUAUCUGCACAAAUAGAGCACUGAACCCCAAAUAAGGCAUUUUGGCAAGUUUAAAGCUAGCAGCUUUAUGCCUUUUCUCACUGC
rnacentral:lncRNA from 1 species